GAAAGAAGUUAUCAAAAUUAGAAAAACUGCAAAGUUUGGUGGCGAAAUGUUGUAAAAUACGGAAAAUAUAGCCCUGCGAAGUUGGCAAAUUUGUAUACAUUUCUAUUACGUGCGGAAAUUGGUAACUAAUUACACUGGCCUGUAGGCCAAGUGUCUUAAAUCCCCCUUUUUCUGUUUUUUUCGUAGUCGAGAAAUCGAGUUUGCGUUAGCUCAUCGCAGGCUCAGGCUGCAACUAUUAAGCCAAAAUGCCUUCGAUACCUCAGUUCCGUAAUUUNNNNNNNNNNNNNNNNNNNNCUAUUCUACAUAUUUUAAUAUUAUAAAAAAUAUCUAAUAGUUUGUAAUAAUCUAGAUCCUCUAUAAAACCUCUGUCAGUGGCCUUCUUGCGAAGUCUCUCGAUACCAUUUCUUGACCGUAUAAAAUCCAUAGAAAUGAUUAGUUUAUAUACACCGCAUAUAUAUUUACUCUGUACAAGAAAAUGAAUCUUUUUCAAUUGAUUUCAAUGUAAAAGUAUCAAAUUUUCGACUGAAUUCUACGAUUUUAUUUAUGAUUGCAACUAAUGACGCCCGCACGAAUGCAAUGUUGCGGUUUGAGCGUGAGCAUGCGCACAACUAACCGGAUAUCCAAAAUUGGAUAUCCGGUAUUCCGUUUCUCCAGAGUCAUGCCCAGCACCUAACCUGCGAACGGGCAUACUCUGGGUACGAGAUUG
rnacentral:lncRNA from 1 species